rnacentral:rRNA from 1 species
UUUGUCCUACGGGAGGCAGCAGUGGGGGAUAUUGCACAAUGGGGGGAACCCUGAUGCAGCGACGCCGCGUGGGCGAGGGAGCGCCUCGGCGCGUAAAGCCCUUUCGGCGGGGGAGAACGAUGACGGUACCCGACGAAGAAGCACCGGCUAAAUACGUGCCAGCAGCCGCGGUAAUACGUAUGGUGCGAGCGUUGUCCGGAUUUACUGGGCGUGAAGGGGGCGCAGGCGGCGCGCCAAGCCCGAUGUGAAAGCCCGGGGCUCAACCCCGGAGCUGCAUUGGGAACUGGCGUGCUGGAGUGCCGGAG